rnacentral:lncRNA from 1 species
AGGUGAAAUCUUCUUGUUUUGCAUAAACUCAAUUUAUGCUCGUUUACUCAUAUGUAAUCUAUCACUUGUUCAUGAUCGCAUAGUUGGGGUGUUUACUAAGUUCAAGAUGCUUAUAAGAUUGUCUAUCCUUGUGAAACUACUCAUGAUCAUGCUUUGAUAUGAAUGCUUACUGGUAUGAAUAAUAGGAUAGCAUGAUUACCUUGAAGUAUACUAUUGGUUUGUGGCUGAGCUUAUGAAACGAAUGAGCUGAGAAUAAGCCGAAGCUUGAAACCUUUGUGUUGGUUGAAAAUUGUUGUUUGUUGAACUGGAAUAAGUGAACUGAAAAGUUCGAACUUGUUUCUUUCAAUAAAUGCAAGUUGCAAAUGAAGGAGAUGAUGAAUCAAAGCUAAUUUUUACCUUAAAGUUUCUGGCAAGGAGUGAACGAGUGAUUCUCUUGCUUUUCGGUUAUGGUGUGUUGAAUGAACUGGAACUGAAAGAAAUUGAUGUUGUUGUCUCAAUAAUUUCAGGUAGAUAAAUGGAAGAAGAUGGAGCAUUUCAGCAGGUUUUACCUUGAGACUUUGGCAGAA